CCUACGGGAGGCAGCAGUAAGGGAUAUUGCACAAUGGGCGCAAGCCUGAUGCAGCAACGCCGCGUGCCCGAUGAAGGCCUUCGGGUCGUAAAGGGCUUUUCUGACCGAAGAGGAAGGACAGUAAGUCAGGAAUAAGUGUCGGCUAACUACGUGCCAGCAGCCGCGGUAAAACGUAGGACGCAAGCGUUAUCCGGAGUUACUGGGCGUAAAGCGCGGGCAGGCGGUCUGUUAAGUUCGAGGUGAAAGCGCCCGGCUCAACCGGGCGAGGCCCUUGAAAACUAGGAGACUGGAAGGCAAGAGAGGUGGGCGGAAUUCCGGGUGGAGUGGUGAAAUGCGUAGAGAUCCGGAGGAACACCAGAGGCGAAGGCGGCCCACUGGCUUGCCCUUGACGCUGAACCGCGAAAGCCAGGGGAGCGAACGGGAUUAGAUACCCCGGUAGU
rnacentral:rRNA from 1 species